rnacentral:lncRNA from 10 species
CAACCUUCUGUGGUAAGGGGUGAACAUCCUUGGGAAGCCACAGAGAGCAAGGCGCAGUUUUUCAUUGAUCACCACUUUCAAGAUGCUCCCAGAAUCGUGCUGUCUAGGAAGCCAUUUAAACUGGGUGAGAAGCCAUCCUCUCUUGAAUGGGGGCUCCCACUGUACAUCUGGCACCCACUUCACAGGAUUCUGGGGGAUGUCAACACCAGCACUGCUGAGCUGUGUGACCUUGAGCAAGACAGUUAGCCUCUCUGAACCUCAGUGUCCUUCUCUGUAGGCUGGAGAUUGAUAUACCUUCAUUAUCGGGG